rnacentral:rRNA from 1 species
AUUGAACGCUGGCGGCAGGCCUAACACAUGCAAGUCGAACGCGUGGCGGACGUGUGAGUAAUGUCUGGGAAACUGCCUGAUGGAGGGGGAUCACUACUGGAAACGGUAGCUCAUACCGCAUACCCUCAGAUGUGCCCAGAUGGGAUUCUCUUGUGGGUGGGGUAACGGCUCACCAAGGCGACGAUCCCUAGCUGGUCUGAGAGGAUGACCAGCCACACUGGAACUGAGACACGGUCCAGACUCCUACGGGAGGCAGCAGUGGGGAAUAUUGCACAAUGGGAGCAAGCCGGAUGCAGCCAUGCCGCGUGUAUGAAGAAGGCCUUCGGGUUGGAAAGUACUUUCAGCGGGGAGGCGUUACCCGAAGAAGAAGCACCGGCUAACUCCGUGCCAGCAGCCGCGGUAAGAC